AGGGCUGAAGCAGAGCUGAAGCUAGAGAAAAGGAUUAUUGAGAACUAGAGCUGCUUUCCUGCCUUGGUCCCAGCAGGAGCCACAUGAGGAGGCAAAGCCAAACUAUUCCCAGCGGGAAGUGUAGGACCCAGCAUGUAACCAAGUGACAAGGAGAUAACUUGGAAAGUCUCCAACAGUGUCUGUGUGCCUGUGACAUCAAGUGAGCAGGUAGCACUGGAUUUAUACUACAGUUUGAUCACUUG